rnacentral:lncRNA from 1 species
CCAGCUUUUCGCUUAUGCAGUUUAUAUAGGAUUCUACCUUUAUCGUUCUGACGUUGCUUGGUACUUCGGCUUCAAUCUCCUCGAUGGCCGUGCAAAAUAAACCUUCUUGUCACUGGCAGUAUGCCCGACUAACCAUCACUGGCAGUAUGCCCGACAGCAGUGUUUAACACGAAAGCUGAGAAGAAGCGAGCUUAAUGGCAUCGAAUUUUCACUUGUGACCAGCUUUUCGCUUAUGUGGUUUAUAUAGGAUUCUACCUUUGAUGUGAUAUGUUGAUAUAUAGGAAUUUGAAUAAGUAGGCAUAAAUUAGGAUUUUUGUUUUAUUUCUAUAUUUAUGAAAUUCUAUAAAUGGGCGGCACAACUAAUUUGAGAUAUAAUAAUG